rnacentral:rRNA from 1 species
UACGAAGGGGGCUAGCGUUGCUCGGAAUUACUGGGCGUAAAGCGCGUGUAGGCGGAUUGUUAAGUCGGAGGUGAAAGCCCAGAGCUCAACUCUGGAAUUGCCUUCGAUACUGGCAGUCUGGAGAGUAGGAGAGGCAAGGGGAAUUCCGAGUGUAGAGGUGAAAUUCGUAGAUAUUCGGAGGAACACCAGUGGCGAAGGCGCCUUGCUGGCCUAUAUCUGACGCUGAGACGCGAAAGCGUGGGGAGCAAACAGG